rnacentral:rRNA from 1 species
UGGGGAAUAUUGCACAAUGGGCGCAAGCCUGAUGCAGCCAUGCCGCGUGUGUGAAGAAGGCCUUCGGGUUGUAAAGCACUUUCAGCGGGGAGGAAGGCGGUGAGGUUAAUAACCUCAUCGAUUGACGUUACCCGCAGAAGAAGCACCGGCUAAUUCCGUGCCAGCAGCCGCGGUAAUACGGAGGGUGCAAGCGUUAAUCGGAAUUACUGGGCGUAAAGCGCACGCAGGCGGUCUGUCAAGUAGGUUGUGAAAUCCCCGGGCUCAACCUGGGAACUGCAUUCGAAGCUGGCAGGCUAGAGUCUUGUAGAGGGGGGUAGAAUUCCAGGUGUAGCGGUGAAAUGCGUAGAGAUCUGGAGGAAUACCGGUGGCGAAGGCGGCCCCCUGGAUAAAGCCUGACGCUCAGGUGCGAAAGCGUGGGGAGCAAACAGG